rnacentral:rRNA from 1 species
GACAGAGGUGCCAAGCGUUAGGCGGAAUCACUGGGCUUAAAGCGUGUGUAGGCGGAAUUGUAAGUCCCUUGUGAAAUCCCACGGCUCAACCGUGGAACUGCUCGGUAUACUGCUUUUCUUGAGCCACUUAGGGGCUGUCGGAACAAACGGUGGAGCGGUGAAAUGCUUAGAUAUGACAUAGAACACCAAUUGCGAAGGCAGCUUACUACACAGUUAUUGACACUGAGGCACGAAAGCGUGGGGAUCAAACAGG